CGGAAGAAGAGCAUCUACAGCAACACAAUAAUACGACAACAGACUGGAAACAGGGUGUGGAGUGUGACACCGGCUUCUAUGGAGGAGAUGGACCACAGGUGUGCUGCCUGGAGUUCAGCUGAUGGGUGAUUAGAGAUGAACAGCAGCUGGACAGAGCUUCAGCAGGCAGAACAUCUGGAUGCGAGAACGCCCAAAUCUCCAGUUUCAUUUCCAGCGUUACGAGCAGGAAAAGGCUCUGAGAGUUCAGAUUCCUGUCGGGCCUCUUCGGCCUGUCAGCCAGACGGAGACGUGAGCUCUGCUGGAGGGGAAACGUGGAAAAAAAAACGCCAACAUAAACUGUGGCGAGACACUGAAGCAGCCUUUGUGCAGCGGCAGCAGCUGUGAGCAGAUCCUGGAGCUUCGGUGGGGGUCGACGGAUUCUUCAGCUCAGACGUCACCAGAAACACCCUGAACCUGGACGUGGUGAGUUCGAGGACCCGUCUGAGGGGAGGAAAUCCCUCCUUUGUUUCCCAGGAAGCAG
ensembl:lncRNA